AUUGAACGCUGGCGGCAGGCUUAACACAUGCAAGUCGAGCGAGCGGCGGACGGGUGAGUAAUGUCUGGGAAACUGCCUGAUGGAGGGGGAUAACUACUGGACACGGUAGCUAAUACCGCAUACCAUCAGAUGUGCCCAGAUGGGCUUAGCUAGUAGGUGUGGUAAUGGCUCCCCUAGGCGACGAUCCCUAGCUGGGCUGAGAGGAUGACCAGCCACACUGGAACUGAGAAACGGUCCAGGCUCCUAGGUGAGGCAGCGGUGGGGAAUAUUGCACAAUGGGAGCAAGCCAGAUGCGGCCAGGGCGCGUGUGUGAGGUAGGCCUUCGGGUUGAAGGGCACUUUCAACGAGGAGGAGUUACUCGAAGAAGAAGAACAGGCUAACGCCGUGCCAGCAGCCGCGGUAAUAC
rnacentral:rRNA from 1 species